CCUACGGGAGGCAGCAGUGGGGAAUAUUGGACAAUGGGGGCAACCCUGAUCCAGCCAUGCCGCGUGUGUGAAGAAGGCCCUCGGGUUGUAAAGCACUUUCAGUGAGGAAGAACGCCUGGUGGUUAAUACCCAUCAGGAAAGACAUCACUCACAGAAGAAGCACCGGCUAACUCCGUGCCAGCAGCCGCGGUAAUACGGAGGGUGCGAGCGUUAAUCGGAAUUACUGGGCGUAAAGCGCGCGUAGGUGGCUUGAUAAGCCGGUUGUGAAAGCCCCGGGCUCAACCUGGGAACGGCAUCCGGAACUGUCAAGCUAGAGUGCAGGAGAGGAAGGUAGAAUUCCCGGUGUAGCGGUGAAAUGCGUAGAGAUCGGGAGGAAUACCAGUGGCGAAGGCGGCCUUCUGGACUGACACUGACACUGAGGUGCGAAAGCGUGGGUAGCAAACAGGAUUAGAUACCCUGGUAGGC
rnacentral:rRNA from 1 species